rnacentral:rRNA from 1 species
AGUGAACGCUGGCGGUAGGCCUAACACAUGCAAGUCGAACGGCAGCACAGUAAGAGCUUGCUCUUACGGGUGGCGAGUGGCGGACGGGUGAGGAAUACAUCGGAAUCUACUUUUUUGUGGGGGAUAACGUAGGGAAACUUACGCUAAUACCGCAUACGACCUACGGGUGAAAGCAGGGGAUCUUCGGACCUUGCGCGAUUGAAUGAGCCGAUUUCGGAUUAGCUGGUUGGCGGGGUAAAGGCCCACCAAGGCGACGAUCCGUAGCUGGUCUGAGAGGAUGAUCAGCCACACUGGAACUGAGACACGGUCCAGACUCCUACGGGAGGCAGCAGUGGGGAAUAUUGGACAAUGGGCGCAAGCCUGAUCCAGCCAUACCGCGUGGGUGAAGAAGGCCUUCGGGUUGUAAAGCCCUUUUGUUGGGAAAGAAAAGCAGCAGGUUAAUACCCCGCUGUUCUGACGGUACCCAAAGAAUAAGCACCGGCUAACUUCGUG